AAACAAAAACAAUACCAAUAACAAACAUUUACUCCAUAAAAUUUGUUACGGAAUAUUUAAUGAAUACAUGCAAGAAAUUCAAAUUAGUUGUGGGGGCGUAACUGAAGUUCUGCAAUCGCUCACAGUCAAGCCAUAUUGCAAACCUACUUAAAAUGCCAAGAGAAGAUUGCUGCUCGAUGCUGCUGGCGCUAGUUGCGCGUUUUCUUUGGUUGUGCAGCGUUGCUGGACUUGAGAAUGGCUUGGCCAGAACGCCACCAUUGGGCUGGAUGCCGUUCGAGCGUUUCCGCUGUGUGACUGAUUGCGUAAAGUUCCCGAGGGAUUGCAUCAGUGAGUCGCUCUUUAUGCGUACUGCUGACCUCUUGGUGUCGGAAGGAUACUCGGCGGUUGGCUAUGAAUAUUUAAUAAUCGACGAUUGCUGGAUGGAAAGACAGCGCCACGAAAUCACAAAGGAGUUGAUGCCCGAUCGAGAACGUUUUCCCAGGGGUCUUAACUUUCUGUCAGAUUACAUACAUAAUAAAGGUCUAAAGUUUGGCCUAUAUCACGAUAUCGGGGAGAGAACUUGCAUGCAUUUUGGGCCCGGUGCGAAUGGAUACUACGCAUUGGAUGCUAAAACCUUCGCGAACUGGAACGUGGACUAUGUCAAAUUGGAUGGUUGCUUUAUAAAGAACAUUAACCUGGACAUUGCCUACCCAGCAUUUGGCCGGGAAUUGAAUAAGACGGGCCGGCCAAUGGUCUACUCUUGCAGUUGGCCAUACUAUCAAAAACACCCUAACUACGAAUUGAUCAAAAAACACUGUAAUCUAUGGAGGUUCGCUGAUGAUAUUAGAGAUGCAUUCGAUUCUGUGGGCAAGACCAUGUACAAUUACUACAAGCAGCAGAAAAAUCUGACAAAACAUGCUGGUCCCGGACAUUGGAAUGACCCAGAUAUGUGCUCGGAAACUAUAGACUUAGCUACGACGCAAGUCGUCUGCAACUGGCCAUAUGGGCUAUAAUCGCGGCUCCGCUUAUUAUGACGAAUGACUUACAGACAGUACGACCUGCAAUCAAAACAUUAUUACAAAAUCGGGCUAUUAUUGAGGUCGAUCAGGAUCCACUCGGCAUACCUGGUCGUUGCGUAUAUAUAGCAGGUAGCUUUCAG
rnacentral:misc_RNA from 1 species